rnacentral:rRNA from 1 species
ACGCUGAAGCCUGCAGCUUGCUGUGGGUGGAUGAGUGGCGAACGGGUGAGUAACACGUGAGUAACCUGCCCUUCACUCUGGGAUAAGCGCUGGAAACGGCGUCUAAUACCGGAUACGACCAGUCCUCGCAUGGGGUGCUGGUGGAAAGCUCCGGCGGUGAAGGAUGGACUCGCGGCCUAUCAGCUUGUUGGUGGGGUAAUGGCCUACCAAGGCGACGACGGGUAGCCGGCCUGAGAGGGCGACCGGCCACACUGGGACUGAGACACGGCCCAGACUCCUACGGGAGGCAGCAGUGGGGAAUAUUGCACAAUGGGCGCAAGCCUGAUGCAGCGACGCCGCGUGAGGGAUGACGGCCUUCGGGUUGUAAACCUCUUUCAGUGGGGACGAAGCCAGCGUGCUGGUGACGGUACCUUCAGAAGAAGCACCGGCUAACUACGUGCCAGCACGGCCGGUAAUA